AACGAACGCUGGCGGCAGGCCUAACACAUGCAAGUCGAACGCUCCGCAAGGGGAGUGGCGCACGGGUGAGUAACACGUGGGAACCUACCUUCUGGUACGGAACAACCAAGGGAAACUCUGGCUGAUACCGUAUACGACCUCCGGGUGAAAGAUUGAUCGCCGGAAGAGGGGCCCGCGUCCGAUUAGGUAGUUGGUGAGGUAACGGCUCACCAAGCCUUCGAUCGGUAGCUGGUCUGAGAGGAUGACCAGCCACACUGGGACUGAGACACGGCCCAGACUCCUACGGGAGGCAGCAGUGGGGAAUAUUGGACAAUGGGCGCAAGCCUGAUCCAGCCAUGCCGCGUGAGUG
rnacentral:rRNA from 1 species